rnacentral:rRNA from 1 species
ACAGGGAUUGCCCUAGUAACGGCGAGUGAAGCGGCAACAGCUCAAAUUUGAAAUCUGGCGUCUUUGGCGUCCGAGUUGUAAUUUGCAGAGGGCGCUUUGGCGUUGGCAGCAGUCUAAGUUCCUUGGAACAGGACGUCACAGAGGGUGAGAAUCCCGUACGUGGUUGCUGGCCUUCGCCGUGUAAAGCCCCUUCGACGAGUCGAGUUGUUUGGGAAUGCAGCUCUAAAUGGGAGGUAAAUUUCUUCUAAAGCUAAAUACUGGCCAGAGACCGAUAGCGCACAAGUAGAGUGAUCGAAAGAUGAAAAGCACUUUGGAAAGAGAGUCAAACAGCACGUGAAAUUGUUAAAAGGGAAGCGCUUGCAGCCAGACUUGCCUGUAGUUGCUCAUCCGGACUUUUGUCCGGUGCACUCUUCUAUAGGCAGGCCAGCAUCAGUUUGGGCGGUUGGAUAAAGGUCUCUGUCAUGUACCUCUCUUCGGGGAGAACUUAUAGGGGAGACGACAUGCAACCAGCCUGGACUGAGGUCCGCGCAUUUGCUAGGAUGCUGGCGUAAUGGCUGUAAGCGGCCCGUCUUGAAACACGGACCAAGGAGUCUAACAUCUAUGCGAGUGUUUGGGUGUCAAGCCCGAACGCGUAAUGAAAGUGAACGGAGGUGGGAACCCCUCGGGGUGCACCAUCGACCGAUCCUGAUGUCUUCGGAUGGAUUUGAGUAAGAGCAUAGCUGUUGGGACCCGAAAGAUGGUGAACUAUGCUUGAAUAGGGUGAAGCCAGAGGAAACUCUGGUGGAGGCUCGCAGCGGUUCUGACGUGCAAAUCGAUCGUCAAAUUUGGGCAUAGGGGCGAAAGACUAAUCGAACUAUCUAGUAGCUGGUUCCUGCCGAA